GUAGUGGUCUCUCCGAUGGGAUCGCUGCUGCAGCGAAAGCAUUAAGUAUUCCGCCUGGGGAGUACGGCCGCAAGGCUAAAACUCAAAGGAAUUGACGGGAGCUCGCACAACCGGUGGAUGAUGUUGUUUAAUUCGAGGCAACGCGAAGAACCUUACCUAGGCUUGACAUGUACGUGGUACAAACCCGAAAGGGGGAGGACCUGCUUGCAGGAGCGUACACAGGUGCUGCAUGGCUGUCGUCAGUUCGUGCCGUGAGGUGUUGGGUUAAGUCCCGUAACGAACGAAACCCCUAUUAUUAGUUGCCAGCGGGUAAUGCCGGGGACUCUAGUGAUACUGCCCGUGUUAAACGGGAGGAAGGUGGGGAUGACGUCAAGUCCUCAUUGCCUUUAUGCCUAGGGCUACAAACGUCCUACAAUGGUCGGUACAGAGAGAAGCAAUACCGCGAGGUGGAGCAAAUCUCCAAAGCCGGCCCCAGUUCGGAUUGUGGGCUGCAAUUCGCCCACAUGAAGCCGGAAUCGGUAGUAAUCGCGUGUCAGCUAUAACGCGGUGAAUAUGUUCCCGAGCUUUGUACACACCGCCCGUCAAGCCAUGAAAGUUGGGGGUACCCUAAGUCGGCAGUCUAACCUUCGGGGGGACACCGCCUAAGGUAAACUCAGCAAUUGGGACUAAGUCGUAACAAGGUAGCCG
rnacentral:rRNA from 1 species